GCAGGAUGCUGCCGGGCAAGCAGACUACGAACAGUCAAUUGGGAAGAUGAAUCCGCAGUCUCCUGGGUGGACAAAAAUAUAUGGAUUAUGGCCACUGGCAUCAACUGAGUCCGUGUUUUGUGCAAAGAUGACGAGUACACGGUGAAGUGAGAGCACAAGCAUUAUGUUGAGGACAUAUGUCUCGAGGGGUUGUCCAAUGCACAUGUUCGUGAAGCGGUGCAUGUGCCUACAGUUCUCCCAGGACGCAGACGAAAACUACGAAGAGAAACGGACAAAGCUGGGAGGAGCAGUCGUGCAUCACAGUCUUGACAUUGAAAGGCAUGCUAGCAAGAUUUACACAAGGGCAAUGUUUAAGCAGUUUGGUAAAAAUAUAUAUAUGGGAUUUGCAUACCAUGUGGAGGAUAUAGGUCAGGCGCACAAAUGCAACGAGGCUUGAGAAGUGGGGCAGAGUUGUGUUUGUC